GAUUUCAACUGAAAAAGUCAUCAACAACAAAAUUGUAUAACUCAUCAAGAUCUAUAACUUCUAUUUUGGUCAUUUCUUCAUCCAACAAAGUGAUUUGUAAUAUUGUUCAUAAAAUGUACAUAUCUCUUAUAGUUUUAUAAACUGUAAGAGAGAUAUGUAAAUUUUAAGAAUAUGUUACGAUUACUUUGUCGGAUGAAGAAAUGAUUAAAAUAGAAGUUAUAGAUCUUGAUGAGUUAUACAACUUUGUUGUUGAUGACUUUUUCAGCUGAAAUC
rnacentral:pre_miRNA from 1 species